CCGGUCCUUCUUCUGUAAACAAAGCUUCCUUCACAUCAACACUCGAUUCAUUAUUCAAACUCAGAAAUGCCAACAAAAGGUUAUAUGUUUGGAAAGAAAAAACGUUACUGUAAGCCCAGAGGAAGACAUGCUUCAAAGACAAAUGCAUAAUUACAAAGCUCUGUUUUGGAUACAGCUGGAUCUGAAUCAGCAACAACGUAGCCUGCAAGUGCAGCUGAAUGAAAAAUAAUUCUAACUGCAAUUACUAACGCUGAUAACACCAAUAAGAGGCUGCCUGAAGAUUUCAUAUACGUCAUGAUGAAUUCAAUGGAAUUGACCACAGUAUAUAAUAUUUUCCAGCACAGGCAUUCGCCGUCUACGGAAAGAGGCGACUGAACGUCGAUUGACAUUUGUGAGAUAUAUCAUUAGUGUCAAUGUGUAAUGCUGAGUUCUUGCUUCCUGAAGUACUCUAGACACGUGACAAGACGAAUAUUAUAAACUAACUGAAGCUCGUUUCAGCAGACAAACAUGAAGUUUAUUUUACUACAAUAAUAAUGAACUGCACUCCUUGUUAUUGCUACAAGUCAAGAAAUAAUAAACAAUCCUAUCCGCAUAGCAGCGGUAUCAAAUGUAUCAAUCACGUCCGCAUCUCAGCGGGUAACAAUAAGAACAAUUACUACUAGCGACACUGGAGCUUCAACUAUAGAUAUCCAUUGAAAUACGAAUACCUUAAUAUUCAAUAAGCGCAUAAUGAAAUCAACUCUCAAAUAAUAUUAAUCAACAAUCAUUAGUCCAUCGACUUUCAUCCUAUAUACAUAUAUAUACACCAGUCCAGGAAGCAACGUCCAACCUUCCUGGACCGGGAGCAAAACCUUACUGACUUGACUUGACUGAACUCAAAGUCAACUUUAUUCAUUCUACUUCCUGUUUUCUACAUCAGGAAUUCCACGUGUCUUUUAAACUCUUAACAUGACGUGAACUUUAGAUCAUGCAAUAUCAACUAAGACUGUGACAAUUAGACAAGACGAAACAUGUUUACUUAAGUCAUCCUUAACACGAAAGCCGAAAAGAGGAGCGCAAAAACAUGCCGUCAACGUUUAAUCAUGGUGUCACACCGAUUCAAGAGGAAAGUGUAACGGACUUAGGUUAGUUCUUUGAGGGGCUAUUUAAAUGCCCCAAUUGUAUAUUGUCAAGAGAGGGGUAUGUGAAAAGUGAAAUUGUGUGUGUGUGUUUGUUUAUUUUAUUAGUUGAGUUGUACAUUGUUUUUAGCACGGGGUUUUUCAAAGGGGGGGGGGGGAGGGGACAAUAAGGUUUCCUGUGGUCCGUCUAGUCAGAAAGCUGACCUUGUCUAAGUAGGGUGUUGGUGAUUGUUUUUCGGUUAUUAUGCCUAGAGUAAGGAGAUGUUAUAUUAUUAUUCUUGCUAUGUGCGUACUGAAUAUUUGGGGUAAUGCUAUGAUGUGUCAUGAUACCCUUAUGUAAUAUAUUAUAUUAUAGGCCUAUAUUAUAUUGUUUGCAGUAAAUAAAUACUAAUUUUCUA